rnacentral:rRNA from 1 species
UGCAGUCGAACGCUUCUUUCCUCCCGAGUGCUUGCACUCAAUUGGAAAGAGGAGUGGCGGACGGGUGAGUAACACGUGGGUAACCUACCCAUCAGAGGGGGAUAACACUUGGAAACAGGUGCUAAUACCGCAUAACAGUUUAUGCCGCAUGGCAUAAGAGUGAAAGGCGCUUUCGGGUGUCGCUGAUGGAUGGACCCGCGGUGCAUUAGCUAGUUGGUGAGGUAACGGCUCACCAAGGCCACGAUGCAUAGCCGACCUGAGAGGGUGAUCGGCCACACUGGGACUGAGACACGGCCCAGACUCCUACGGGAGGCAGCAGUAGGGAAUCUUCGGCAAUGGACGAAAGUCUGACCGAGCAACGCCGCGUGAGUGAAGAAGGUUUUCGGAUCGUAAAACUCUGUUGUUAGAGAAGAACAAGGACGUUAGUAACUGAACGUCCCCUGACGGUAUCUAACCAGAAAGCCACGGCUAACUACGUGCCAGCAGCCGCGGUAAUACGUAGGUGGCAAGCGUUGUCCGGAUUUAUUGGGCGUAAAGCGAGCGCAGGCGGUUUCUUAAGUCUGAUGUGAAAGCCCCCGGCUCAACCGGGGAGGGUCAUUGGAAACUGGGAGACUUGAGUGCAGAAGAGGAGAGUGGAAUUCCAUGUGUAGCGGUGAAAUGCGUAGAUAUAUGGAGGAACACCAGUGGCGAA